UUUUCAGAAAUCUUGUCAGGAAGUUAAGCAGUUGAUACGAUUGAUAAAACCAGAGGCUGUUCUCGUGGAGCUUUGCCCUAGUCGCGCUAAAUAUCUUAAGCCUAAAACAGGCGAGAGUAAUACUGGGGGAGAGUUUCAAGUGGCGUAUGAGGAAGCCAACGAGUAUGGUGCCAAGGUUGUACUUGGUGAUCGACCUAUUGGU